rnacentral:misc_RNA from 1 species
GAUGAAGAACGUAGCGAAAUGCGAUAAGUAAUGUGAAUUGCAGAAUUCCGUGAAUCAUCGAGUCUUUGAACGCACAUUGCGCCCUCUGGUAUUCCGGAGGGCAUGCCUGUCCGAGCGUCAUUGCUGCCCUCAAGCACGGCUUGUGUGUUGGGCCCCGUCCUCCUUCCGGGGGACGGGUCCGAAAGGCAGCGGCGGCACCGCGUCCGGUCCUCAAGCGUAUGGGGCUUUGUCACUCGCUUUGUAGGCCUGGCCGGCGCUUGCCGAUCAACCAAACUUUUUAUCAGGUUGACCUCGGAUCAGGUAGGGAUACCCGCUGAACUUAAGCAUAUCAAUAAGCGGAGGA